AAGUUUCAACAACGGAUCUCUUGGCUCUCGCAUCGAUGAAGAACGCAGCGAAAUGCGAUAAGUAAUGUGAAUUGCAGAAUUCAGUGAAUCAUCGAAUCUUUGAACGCACCUUGCGCUCCUUGGUAUUUCUUGGAGCAUGCCUGUUUGAGUAUCAU
rnacentral:rRNA from 1 species